CCUACGGGUGGCAGCAGUGGGGAAUAUUGCACAAUGGGGGGAACCCUGAUGCAGCGACGCCGCGUGAGUGAAGAAGUAUUUCGGUAUGUAAAGCUCUAUCAGCAGGGAAGAAAAUGACGGUACCUGACUAAGAAGCCCCGGCUAACUACGUGCCAGCAGCCGCGGUAAUACGUAGGGGGCAAGCGUUAUCCGGAUUUACUGGGUGUAAAGGGAGCGCAGACGGCUGUGCAAGUCUGGAGUGAAAGGCGGGGGCCCAACCCCCGGACUGCUCUGGAAACUGUAAAGCUGGAGUGCAGGAGAGGUAAGCGGAAUUCCUAGUGUAGCGGUGAAAUGCGUAGAUAUUGGGAGGAGCACCAGUGGCGAAGGCGGCCUGCUGGACAUUAACUGACGCUGAGGCGCGAAAGCGUGGGGAGCAAACAGGAUUAGAUACCCCUGUAGUC
rnacentral:rRNA from 1 species